rnacentral:lncRNA from 1 species
ACUCCACCGAGGUCGUCGCCUAAGCCGGAGGAGCCGCCAGUUUGGGCUCGGGGAGGGAGGCGGAGAGGGAGUGGCGGCCGCGGUGGAGCGGCGUGGGCUCCGCACCAGCAGCUCGGUGCCAGGCUCGGUACCUGGCAGGCCGGGCGCGCCUCGCAGGCCGCCCGGGGCGCGGAGGGUGUGAGCGCGCGCGCCCCCUCCGUGCCCGCUCAGCCUCGCGCGCGUCUCGGGGGAGGCUCCGCCGAGAGGCGCCCGGGGAGCCCGCAGCCUCAGUCCUGCCGCCGGCGGAGCUUUGUGCGGCGGCGGCUCCGAGUCCCACCUGCUGGCGGCGGAGAGACAAGGAAGAGGAAGAAGGAGGAGGAGGAGGGGAAAGAGGCGGCGGCGCCAGCCCACUCCUCUCGCCGGCGCCCACUCCCGGGGGCUCCGCAGCCCCCCGCUCUCGGCCUGCACCAGCUCCCCGCCCCCGGCCCGGCCCGGCCUCCCGGCCACACCGCGGCAGCCGCCGCUGCAGCCCCCAGCCUUGCCCGGCGGGGCCCGGCCCGGCCCGGCCCGGCCGCCGCCGCCGCCGCCGCCGCCCGGAGCCGCCGGCGAGUUUGAGGGGAGCGCGGGGCGCGCGGCGCCGCUUCAAUGUGCCCGGGAGCCGCCUCGGCGCCCCAGCCCCGCUGAACAGCCCCGGCGCGGCUGCCCUAGAGGACGAGCGAGGAGGCGCGGAGAGCCCCGGAGAAAGAGAGCCAGCGAGAAAGAGCGAGCCCGACAGCGAGCGCAGGGAGCGACACCAUGCCCGGCUGGAAGAAGAAUAUCCCUAUCUGCUUGCAGGCAGAGGAGCAGGAGAGAGGGUUUCACCAUGUUGCCCAGCGUGGUCUCAAACCCCUGAGCUGAAGCAGCCUGCCUGCCUUGGCCUCCCAAAGUGCUGGGAUUAUAGGUAAGAGCUACCACACCUGGCCUUUUUUUGACCCAUUGGUUAUUUGGAAGUAUGUUUUUAAAAUUUCCACAUAUUUGUGAAUUUCCCAAAUUUCUUUCUGUUGUUGAUUUCUAAUUUUGUUCCACUGUGGUCAGAAAAUAUGCUUUGUAUAAUUUCAAUUCUUUAAAAUAUAUUUUUAGGAUUGUUUUAUGGCCUACCAUAUGGUCUAGCCUGGAGAAUGCUCUGUGUGCACUUGAGAAGAAUGUAACUCUGUAAUUGUUGGGCAGAGUGUUCUAUAGAUAUAUGUUAGGUCUAGUUAGUUGAUAGCACAUGUCUUAUCUUUUUAAAUAGAUUUACCAAGCUUUGUAAUCAGGACUUGUUGAUAUUUAAAUACCUCUGAAAAAGCCACCUACCUAUUUGGCUCUAUACUUUCUUCCUGAAUUGACAUGGUUCCAAACACACUGAUAUUGGAAUUGUAUUUAAAAAAAAAUUUUUUUUUUCUAAACCUUCACAUUGUUUUUCUAGGGUACAGGUAUUUAGCUUCCAGUGGGAAAUAUGAUUGCCAAAUGCAGCCUGCUUCUUCAUGUUCUGUUACUGAAUUAUCUUAAAAUCAAUACAAUUACUGCUUCUCUAAGAAUUGUGCUGCACAUGGAGGAUAAAUUCACAGUUUUAGAGGAGAUUCACAAAUUUUGACGUUCAUAAAUUAUGCUUUAAUUUUUUGCAAUUGUUUCUGGAUAUCUGCAUUUGGAGGCUAUAGCCCUUCCUCUGAAUGGGAUUCGAGAUUCAACAGAGUGCAAUCUAUGCCUAUUAAGGAAACAUACCCAGAACAUUCUUGGAAAUGUGAAGAUUGUAAGAGUAUCUCAACACUACCAUGAAAUGCCUGUCUAUUUAAGUCAUAUUUUGAGUGGUGUUUCAAUGUGUCCUGUUCUGUGAAAGCAUUUUCUCUUUUAUGAAACUACUAAAAUUGAAGCCAUUAGUGUUGUAAAUUUGGAAUCCAAGUUGAGAUGGCGUCUGGCUGAAUACACUCUAGAGGAUAAAAAAAUUGUUCAGUUUGACAAAUGCCAGGGUUUUCACUGAUAUAGUUUACUAUUGAUUAAAAUAUACUUAUUGCUAAUUAUAUUUUUGGGUGGACUAAAUUUUUUUACACUGCUUUUAUAUCACCAUUAAAUAUCCAGCUGUCUCUAUUUCAACACUGUUAUUAAUAAAUCAUUUGGCUUUCAUAAUGUAAUAUGUGAAUAUGUUGCACAUUAUUGAAAAAUUGGCUGUGCCCAAGUUUUCUCUAUGUUUUCUUGUAUUCUUUUACUCAGAAAUGAUGGAUGUUUGCAGAAAUGAAUAAAGUAUUUUGAUUAUUCUGUAUUUUACUUUGACCAUUGUCAUAUUUAUGUAUAACUACUUGAUUUUUCCUUACUCAGCUAUAGGGAAGAAAUAUUUCUUUCCUCUCCUGCCUGCUGUGGCAAUGCCUUAUUCUCCUGAAUUUGCAAAUGAAGCCGUGUCUCUAAUCAUUACUAAUUUGAUUUUUUCCUAUUUUAGGUUAUUAUGUUGAGUUUACAUAACUUGAGUUAAAAGCUGAUAAUUCAUUAAAUAGUUUGUCCUUUUUUUUUGAGACGGAGUCUUGCUGUGUUGCCCACGCUUGAGUGCAGUGGCGUGAUCUCGGCUCACUGCAAGCUCUGCCUCCCGGGUUCAUGCCAUUCUCCUGUCUCAGCCUCCCGAGUAGCUGGGACUACAGGCGCCCACCACCUCGCCUGGCUAAUUUUUUUGUAUUUUUAGUAGAGACGGGAUUUCACCCUGUUAGCCAGGAUGGUCUCGUCUCCUGACCUCGUGAUCCGCCUGCCUCGGUCUCCCGAAGUGCUGGGAUUACAGAUAGUUUGUCCUUUUUUCUUUCUUUUUUUUUUUUUUGCGACGGAGUUUAGCUCUUGUUGCCCAGGCUGGAGCGUAAUGGCGCUAUCUCGGCUCACCGCGACCUCUGCCUCCCGGGUUCAAGCCUCCCAAGUAGCUGGGAUUACAGGCAUGUGCCAACACGCCCGGCUAAUUUUGUAUUUUUAGUAGAGACAGGGUUCCUCCAUGUUGGUCAGAAUGGUCUCGAAUUCUUGACUUCAGGUCAUCCACUCACCUCAGCCUCCUAAAGUGCUGGGAUUACAGGCCUGAGCCACCGCGCCCUGCCAAGUAGUUUGUCCUUUAAGCAGACCUCCCUCCUAGACUGUUGUAUGUUACAGUUAGAUACAUUUGAUUGCUUAGUGAGAAGAACAGAUAUGUGUAUGUAAAACGGGGAAUAAAUUGCCUUCCUCAGGUUGUUGUGAGUAUUACAUGAGCCUCACGGCUAGAAAGCGACUAGUAAUGUGCUUGGUACACAGAAUACUCAACACUUGUUUGCUUCCUUCUUCCCUCUUUUCUCUCUUUUCCAUUGGUAGAUGAGUGCCUUAAUGUUAGUAGCUUUAUAUUAAUUACCUAUGUAUUUUUCAAAUCUGAGCCAGAGCUGGAACCUAGUCAGUGUUAAAUACAUUAAAUACAUUACUACUUAAUUAAAUGUCUCUUGAAUAACUGGAUAAAUGAACAAACCAUACUAUUUAUCAGAAUUUGAAACAAGAACCAAAAUUUCUAAAACAUAGAACCAAACUCAAGCAGAUACCAUUUAAAAAUGUAAGUUCUAGAACAUCAGAGAAGUAGCAGAAAGCUAUGCGUAUAGUGAGUGCCUAGUAACAACCUUUGCCUGAUCAUCAGAACAAAUCCCACCUCCCUAGAUCUCUAACUUUUUGGAAUUUGAGACAGUAUUUUCUUCAUCCUUCUUAUGUACCAUCCCUUUUAAUGAAUUAUAUCUAAUAUGUUGCUAGUCAGGAAUAUCCGCCUUCUAGGAAUCUUAGAACUAGCAUUAACACUUUCAUUUAUUUUAAUUCUGUGAAAUCUUAACAAGCAACACUGAAUUGUCUAUUUGUAAUAUUAUCAUUUUUCCUUGGAAUUUAUAAUUCCUUUUAAAUCAUUUACACUUUUCUUCCCUGCCUCUCACUUUGCAGCAGUCAAUAGAGCUGAUUGUAUUUAUUUCUGCAGUUGUAACUCAAAUUCCAUUAAAGGUUUUGGUGCCGUCAGCCAGAUCAUGUUGGAGCCAGGGAUUCCAUUUCCUAUAAACAAGUUAAUAUCUUCCAUUAUUUUUCUUCCUUGUGUAGUGACAGUGUUUAUUGUUGUUCCGAAGCCAAUUUGAAGCUUAACUUUAGAAACAUUAUAUAUUAAUCUGACCAUAUUUGGUUUUAAAAAAGUCUCUAUGAGUGAAAUAAAGAUUUUCUGUUUAAUGAUGAUUAAUAACCUAUUCGGAUGGAUUCAUCUGAGGAACUGAAGAUAAUUUUGCCAUCAGGCCACUUGUAUAUGGGCACAAACAGAUGGGUCUUACUCCAAACCCUGAAGGCACAGACGAGACGCCCCCGUAAUUGCUUAGGGAAGAAUUGUACAGCCAUGGCCUCUUCCCAAGGACACAGUGAUCUUCACUGUGAUAACUCCCAAAUUUGACGCUUUUCAACAAGGCAAGAAACCUCACCACAUUCAUUCAGUAAAAACUUCCCAUGCUGUGCUGCAAUUGGCUACCCAGAGUAGCAACAAAGAAGAAGGUGUCCAGUGAAUAAGCUUGGAUUUUAAUUGUGAAGCUGCAGCAAGUUUACACACAAGAGUAUCAGAUUAACACAGAAAUCUGGAAAUGUUAGAACUUUGGUUGGAAAUUUCCUGUGACCCUUGGGAAUGACAGCUUUAGAGCCAGGAUUGUGUGAUUCACAGUAUAGUCUUCCACAGUCUCCUGUCUCUUUUAUAAGGUGUCCUAUGAGACUAAUAAUAUCUUUCUUAGGGGACUGUUGAGAAGGUGGAAUU